GUGCAGCAGUCGAGAAACCUCCGCAAUACACGAAAGUGUGACGGGGCCAUCCCGAGUGCCGUCCGCUGAGGACGGCUUUUCCCCAGUGUACACAGCUGGGGGAAUAAGGAGAGGGCAAGCCUGGUGUCAGCCGCCGCGGUAAUACCAGCUCUCCGAGUGGUGGGGACGCUUAUUGGGCCUAAAGCAUCCGUAGCCGGCUGGGCAAGUCCUCCGUUAAAUCCAACGAUUCAAUCGUUGGGCUGCGGGGGAUACUGUCCAGCUUGGGGGCGGGAGAGGCCGACGGUAUUCCCGGGGUAGGGGUGAAAUCCUAUAAUCCCGGGAGGACCACCAGUGGCGAAGGCUGUCGGCUAGAACGCGCCCGACGGUGAGGGAUGAAAGCUGGGGGAGCGAACCGGAUUAGAUACCCCUGUAGU
rnacentral:rRNA from 1 species